rnacentral:rRNA from 1 species
UUGAAAGGGAAACGAUUGAAGUCAGUCGUACCAACGGAAAAUCAGCUCUUCGAGUGCGGACUUGUGGGUUACGUGAGCUUUACGGCCUCGUUGUUUGCAAUGUUCGUUCUUUUUGGGUGUACUUUUUCGUGUGGUAGGCCAACAUCAGUUUCGAUCGCUAUAAAAUGACCGGCGGAAUGUAGCUUCGAUCUCGUAUUGAAGUGUUAUAGCCUCUGGUAGAUGUGGUGAUUGGGACUGAGGAUUGCAACGAAUAUCCUUUGGGCUAUCCGUCUGAUCUCUGAAAGUUGCUUAGGUGCCGAAAGCAUGCUUACGGUUAUUUAAGUUGACGGUCAAAAGGUUAGAACGUGAUUAUAUUCGUUAAGGAUGUUGACGUA